rnacentral:lncRNA from 1 species
UUAAAAAACAAAUGUGUCAUAGUGUAAAAUCAAAAAAGGCAGUACAAGGCAGCUCUUGAAAACUUCUUCACCAUUACUCUCUUUUUCCUCUAUGGAAAAUGGUAUGCAAAUUAGAAAAGAGGAAGGAAAUCAUGAAACUAUCAAACCAAAUUGCAAUGGCCAAGCUCCCAACAUCUUUCACUCUUCCAACAAUAAUCUUAAAAUCAAUAUUGUUUUUGUCUUUGAACAGUCUUACAAUCCUCUUGUUAUUUGCAGGCAGUGCAGUGGGGACUGUAAUUUUUCACGGUUUUCCUUCCUCUGCCAUUGAUGCCUUUAUUAUUUCAAUUGUCUUUGCUUUUUCAGGUGCUUUGAGUGCUCUUUUGGUUCCUCAAAGGCACAAAUUAGCAAGAUUUUGUGCCUUGUAUUCUCUGGCUUCCCUGGCUUCCGCUCUGCUUCUGCUGAUUUGGGGACUGUAUCAUACACUCAUUCUUGGCAAAGCUCAGAGUGCUUUAUGACCUUAGAAUAUGUUUGGUUCUGGUUUUUGUUAAACCUCUUUUGAGCUUUGAAUCUAAAUAUUCUCCCAAGUGUUUUCAGUAAUGUUUACAAAUAGUUAAGAAUAUGAAGAAGAUCUGUUAAUUCACCUGUACGUCGUACUUUUAAGCCAUCUCUUUUAGUUGAAUCCCUUCUCUUCUCUUCUCUUCUCUUCUCUUCUCUUUCUUUCUUUCUUAAUAGAAUCAAUAUGUUUUUCUUAUUCGUGAGAUUAGGGUUAUUGGGUUCGAUUUUACUUUCUUGUUUGUGAGAUUAGGGUUAUUGGGUUUGGUUUUGGUCCGCGAAGUUUCAAAACAAAACAUUUUCAUUAAGGAAUGAACCAUAAAUCCUAUGUCAGGAGUACAACAAUUGUUGGGUGAAGUACCGAAUCUUCAACCUCUAGGUUGAAAGACUAUGUCAAUUACCAUAGAGUUAAACUUAAUUUGUUUUAGUUAUAAGCUAAAAGAAGUUGUUUAAUUAUUAAAUAGGAAUAUUAAGAAAAUGUUUGGGACAAACCUAGAGUUAUUUAGAUGUGGAGUUUACAAUGCAAUGAGCUAAUAAAGUCCUGAAAUUAAUAUUUGUUAGUCAACCAAAUAGUAGAGUUAACAAACAAUUCCCUCAACUCCCACUCGUCAAGAUAAGUAUGGCCUACGUGUUUAAAGGUGGCUCAUUGAGUAUACAAGAAGAAUGAUAUUUAAUCGGAUUUAUAGUCCUCAAUGGAUUACUUCUCUUUUAAGUCCUAUUUUCGGCCAAACAGAGAAUUUUGCUCCGAAGAAGAUUCUAAGCCAAUUCUCAAUUUUAUUUAUUGAUUUUUUGUUUUUUUUUUUUCCAG